ACGGGAGGCAGCAGUGGGGAAUAUUGCACAAUGGGCGCAAGCCUGAUGCAGCGACGCCGCGUGAGCGAAGAAGUAUUUCGGUAUGUAAAGCUCUAUCAGCAGGGAAGAUAAUGACGGUACCUGACUAAGAAGCACCGGCUAAAUACGUGCCAGCAGCCGCGGUAAUACGUAUGGUGCAAGCGUUAUCCGGAUUUACUGGGUGUAAAGGGAGCGUAGGCGGUCUAGCAAGUCUGAUGUGAAAACCCGGGGCUCAACUUCGGGAUUGCAUUGGAAACUGUCAGACUAGAGUGUCGGAGGGGUAAGUGGAAUUCCUAGUGUAGCGGUGAAAUGCGUAGAUAUUAGGAGGAACACCAGUGGCGAAGGCGGCUUACUGGACUGUAACUGACGUUGAGGCUCGAAAGCGUGGGGAGCAAACAGGAUUAGAUACCCUGGUA
rnacentral:rRNA from 1 species